AGAAGAUCAGUCCACAAGCUGGUUGUAUUAUUACCGGUGGAAGAACAAUGAUUGUGUGGGGGAGUGUAUCAUUAGUUUGUAUUAACUAAUGAUAAUUUAUUCCUUUUUUGUUAUUUUAUCACGCAUGUCCAAUUUCUGUUUUUUUUAUGUGCUGAGCAUGAUGGGAAAUAGAGGUAACGCAUGGGAAUUUUGAGUCAUAAACAAAGAUCCAUAUUAUGUUUUUGAAGUUGUAUUAUAAGUUGCAGUUUUAUUUUCUUGUUGUUUUGGGAUGCUAGAAUUGUAUUUAGCAUCUUUAGAAGCAGAUAAGCAUAUUCCCAAAAAAGAGAUCUUCUGUUCUAAGUGGAAAACAGGGAUAACACUUCACGCUCACCAGAUGAGGCAAUGUUGUCGAAAUAAAUCAUAAACCAUUAUGACAA